AACGUAAUGCAGGGGAACCCGGCCGGUACGACGGGUUGAGAAUGGCGCAGGCCUGACCCUUAGAACCUGUUGGUUAAGACCAUCGUAGGGAGCAGCGAUAUGAACGAU
rnacentral:ncRNA from 1 species